ACCCCGUGGUGCAGUGGGUCAGCACAUUUGGCUGUUAACCAGAAGGUUGGUGGUUCGAGCCCACCCAGAGGUA